AGUGAACGCUGGCGGCGUGCUUAAUACAUGCAAGUCGAACGAUGAAGUCCUAGCUUGCUAGGCUGGAUUAGUGGCGCACGGGUGAGUAAUAUAUAGUUAAUCUGCCUUGCGCUGAGGAACAACAGUUGGAAACGAUUGCUAAUACCUCAUACUCCAACUUUACAUAAGUUAAGUUGGGAAAGUCUUUUCGGUGCAAGAUGAGACUAUAUCGUAUCAGCUAGUUGGUAAGGUAAUGGCUCACCAAGGCUAUGACGCGUAACUGGUCUGAGAGGAUGCCCAGUCAGAUGGGAAGUGAGGCACGGGCCGAGCGCCUGCGGGAGGGGGCAGGAAGGGAGAGUGGGCGAGGGGGGGAGCGCUGACGCGGCAACGGCGCGUGGAGGAGGACAGUUUGCGGAGCGUAAACUCCUUUUGUUAGGGAAGAAUAAUGACGGUACCUAACGAAUAAGCACCGGCUAACUCCGUG
rnacentral:rRNA from 1 species